rnacentral:rRNA from 1 species
UGCAGUCGAACGGCAGCAUAGGUGCUUGCACCUGAUGGCGAGUGGCGAACGGGUGAGUAAUGCAUCGGAACGUGCCCAAUCGUGGGGGAUAACGCAGCGAAAGCUGUGCUAAUACCGCAUACGAUCUACGGAUGAAAGCGGGGGACCUUCGGGCCUCGCGCGAUUGGAGCGGCCGAUGUUAGAUUAGGUAGUUGGUGGGGUAAAGGCUCACCAAGCCGACGAUCUAUAGCUGGUCUGAGAGGACGACCAGCCACACUGGAACUGAGACACGGUCCAGACUCCUACGGGAGGCAGCAGUGGGGAAUUUUGGACAAUGGGCGAAAGCCUGAUCCAGCAAUACCGCGUGCAGGAAGAAGGCCUUCGGGUUGUAAACUGCUUUUGUACGGAACGAAAAGGCUCUUUCUAAUAAAGAGGGCUCAUGACGGUACCGUAAGAAUAAGCACCGGCUAACUACGUGCCAGCAGCCGCGGUAAUACGUAGGGUGCAAGCGUUAAUCGGAAUUACUGGGCGUAAAGCGUGCGCAGGCGGUUUUGUAAGACAGGCGU